UGGGGAAUUUUGGACAAUGGGGGCAACCCUGAUCCAGCCAUUCCGCGUGAGUGAAGAAGGCCUUCGGGUUGUAAAGCUCUUUUGUUCGGGACGAAACGGUUAAGGUUAAUAACCUUGACUAAUGACGGUACCGGAAGAAUAAGCACCGGCUAACUACGUGCCAGCAGCCGCGGUAAUACGUAGGGUGCGAGCGUUAAUCGGAAUUACUGGGCGUAAAGCGUGCGCAGGCGGUUUUGUAAGCCAGAUGUGAAAUCCCCGGGCUCAACCUGGGAAUGGCAUUUGGGACUGCAAAGCUGGAGUAUGGCAGAGGAGACUAGAAUUCCUGGUGUAGCAGUGAAAUGCGUAGAUAUCAGGAGGAAUACCGAUGGCGAAGGCAGGUCUCUGGGCCAAUACUGACGCUCAUGCACGAAAGCGUGGGGAGCAAACAGG
rnacentral:rRNA from 1 species